AGGCCGGCCAGCACCCAUCUGGACACUGUCCUUCCAAAUGGCCCUGAGUAAACGUUGUCAGAUGCUUCAGAAAUUAACAAAGGAGAAAACAAAAAGACAAAUGAAGUCACUUAUGAUCUAUUGACUCUCCUUAAAAGAUGACAACAAUGCAUCAAACCUUUCGUUCUGGUGGUGGAACCCAGGCCCUCAGAACAUCUUGGACAAGAGGUCUGUUGGUAGUCCAUGUUGUCUCCUUGUCCAAUGCCAGCUGGACUCUGGCUUCAUGAGGUGGGCCAGACUGCCUGUAAGAUGGAGAU